rnacentral:tRNA from 1 species
AGCGGGGUAGAGAAGAGGUAUCUCGGGAGGCUCAUAACCUCCAGACCCCGGUUCGAUUCCGGGCCCCGCAA